rnacentral:rRNA from 1 species
UACGUAUGGGGCAAGCGUUAUCCGGAAUUAUUGGGCGUAAAGGGUGCGUAGGUGGUUACCUAAGCGCAAGGUUUAAUCUUGAGGCUCAACCUCAUUCUGCCUUGCGAACUGGGCUACUUGAGUGCUGGAGGGGAAAGCGGAAUUCCCAGUGUAGCGGUGAAAUGCGUAGAUAUUGGGAAGAACACCGGUGGCGAAGGCGGCUUUCUGGACAGUAACUGACACUGAGGCACGAAAGCGUGGGGAGCAAACAGGAUUAGAUACCCGUGUAGUCCCUGAG